rnacentral:pre_miRNA from 1 species
UGCUAAUGAUGAUGAUUAUAAUGAUGAUGUCGACGAUGAUGAUGAUUAUGAUCAUCAUCAUCAUCAUCGUCGUCAUCAUCAUCAUCAUCAUCAUCA